GGAUGAACGCUGGCGGCGUGCCUAACACAUGCAAGUCGAACGAAGCGAUUAGGAUGAAGUUUUCGGAUGGAUUCCUGAUUGACUGAGUGGCGGACGGGUGAGUAACGCGUGGAUAACCUGCCUCACACUGGGGGAUAACAGUUAGAAAUGGCUGCUAAUACCGCAUAAGCGCACAGUACCGCAUGGUACGGUGUGAAAAACCCAGGUGGUGUGAGAUGGAUCCGCGUCUGAUUAGCCAGUUGGCGGGGUAACGGCCCACCAAAGCGACGAUCAGUAGCCGACCUGAGAGGGUGACCGGCCACAUUGGGACUGAGACACGGCCCAAACUCCUACGGGAGGCAGCAGUGGGGAAUAUUGCACAAUGGGCGCAAGCCUGAUGCAGCGACGCCGCGUGAGUGAAGAAGUAUCUCGGUAUGUAAAGCUCUAUCAGCAGGGAAGAAAAUGACGGUACCUGACUAAGAAGCCCCGGCUAACUACGUGCCAGCAGCCGCGGUAAUACGUAGGGGGCAAGCGUUAUCCGGAUUUACUGGGUGUAAAGGGAGCGUAGACGGCGACGCAAGUCUGGAGUGAAAGCCCGGGGCCCAACCCCGGGACUGCUUUGGAAACUGUGCUGCUGGAGUGCAGGAGAGGUAAGUGGAAUUCCUAGUGUAGCGGUGAAAUGCGUAGAUAUUAGGAGGAACACCAGUGGCGAAGGCGGCUUACUGGACUGUAACUGACGUUGAGGCUCG
rnacentral:rRNA from 1 species